CGUAUAUGGGCGCAGCUGAUCAGCCAUGCCGCGUGUGUGAGAAGGCCUUCGGGUUGUAAAGCUCUUUCGCCGGGACGAAAGGGCUUCGGCUAAUACCCGGGGGGACUGACGGUACCCUCAGAAUAAGCACCGGCUAACUUCGUGCCAGCAGCCGCGGUAAUA
rnacentral:rRNA from 1 species